ensembl:snRNA snRNA:U4atac small nuclear RNA U4atac
ACCUUCCUUGUCUUGGGGAGCAGAAAUGUUCAAUGAACGUCUAGUGAGGACAUUGCUGCUGACACCAAUGAUGACACCCCCGCUCGCCGAUCGUUCGCGAUUGGAGUUCGGAAUUUUUGGACCAGGCUCCUUUACUUUACAGGGAGCCGCCUCUUGAAUG